UACAGAGGUCUCAAGCGUUGUUCGGAUUCAUUGGGCGUAAAGGGUGCGUAGGUGGCGGGGCCAGUCAGGUGUGAAAUCCCGGGGCUUAACCCUGGAACUGCAUUUGAUACUGCCUUGCUGGAGAACUGGAGAGGAGACUGGAAUUUACGGUGUAGCAGUGAAAUGCGUAGAGAUCGUAAGGAAGACCAGUGGCGAAGGCGGGUCUCGUGGACAGUUCCUGACGCUGAGGCACGAAGGCCAGGGGAGCAAACGGG
rnacentral:rRNA from 1 species